rnacentral:rRNA from 1 species
CCGCAUCUGUGCAUGCAGCAUAUCAAUAAGCGGAGGAAAAGAAACUAACAAGGAUUCCCCUAGUAACGGCGAGUGAAGCGGGAAGAGCUCAAAUUUGAAAUCUUAAAGGGUUUCCCUUUACGAAUUGUAGUUUAAAGAAGUGUUUUCUGUUGAGGUUUUGGUAAAAGUUCCUUGGAAUAGGACAUCAUAGAGGGUGAGAAUCCCGUAUUUGACCUUUACUUUCAACUUUGUGAUACACUUUCAAAGAGUCGGAUUGUUUGGGAAUGCAGUCCAAAAUGGGUGGUAAAUUUCAUCUAAAGCUAAAUAUUGGCGAGAGACCGAUAGCGAACAAGUACCGUGAGGGAAAGAUGAAAAGAACUUUGAAAAGAGAGUUAAACAGUACGUGAAAUUGUCAAAAGGGAAGCGUUUGACACCAGUGUUGUUUUUCUGAAAAUCAAUUAAAGAACUGUUUAUGCUAAGUUGUUUAGACUUUAUCAGCUAUCUGUUUAGUUUUGAGCUUUUCUUUAAUGCACUUUUCAGUUAACAAGUCAACAUCAAUUUCUUUUGCUGUAAAAAAGCUUGAGGAAGGUGGCUUGAGAUUCGUCUUAAGUGUUUAUAGCCUCUUGCCUAUGCAGUCGGAGAGAUUGAGGUCUGCAGCGUAGAUCCUUCGGGGCUAAAUGCAUUUGUGCUAAGUUAUAACAUUUCAUAGACAACUUGUUGACUAUGAUUUGUCUUGUAGCUUACUCGCUUAUGUUAUUUUACCUACGCUUAGGAUGUUGACAGCAGUAUAGACUGU